UACAGAGGCCACGAGCGUUAGGCGGAAUCACUGGGCUUAAAGCGUGUGUAGGUGGAUGACUAAGUACCUUGUGAAAUCCCACGGCUCAACCGUGGAACUGCUUGGUAUACUGGUUGUCUUGAGGCACUCAGGGGCGAGCGGAACAGAUGGUGGAGCGGUGAAAUGCGUAGAUAUCAUCUGGAACGCCAAUGGUGAAGACAGCUCGCUGGGGGUGUACUGACACUGAGACACGAAAAGCUAGGGGAGCAAACCGGG
rnacentral:rRNA from 1 species